rnacentral:rRNA from 1 species
CUGCCCUGAACGCGCCUGAUCUCAUCUGAUCUCGGGAGCUAAGCAGGGUCGGGCCUGGUUAGUACUUGGAUGGGAGACUUUCUACCUUUUAUGUGAAACAUGCCUAUAAAGAAGUUCUGAU